GAAGCGCGGCAACGCGUGGAGCGGACCGCCACUAACCGGUCGAAGGCUUG
rnacentral:rRNA from 1 species